UACGAAGGGGGCUAGCGUUGCUCGGAAUUACUGGGCGUAAAGGGAGCGUAGGCGGACUGUUUAGUCAGAGGUGAAAGCCCAGGGCUCAACCUUGGAAUUGCCUUUGAUACUGGCAGUCUUGAGUACGGAAGAGGUAUGUGGAACUCCGAGUGUAGAGGUGAAAUUCGUAGAUAUUCGGAAGAACACCAGUGGCGAAGGCGACAUACUGGUCCGUUACUGACGCUGAGGCUCGAAAGCGUGGGGAGUAAACAGG
rnacentral:rRNA from 1 species